UAUACACAAGAGAAAACAUGGUCCACGUUCUUACCUGGUGUACUAUGCCCACUUGUAAUAAAUGAAGAUCUGGGAAAUUCUAUUGACUCAUUACAUUCAAGCCUUUGCUUUCUUAACAUUAGUCCCACUAGCUUAAAUUUUAGUCUUAAAAAAUAUUUUACUGCAAAACACUAAAGCUAUCCCCCCCCCCCUUUUUUUUUUCCUUUCUUUCUUUAACACUUAAGAACCUUCACAAAAAUGGUAAGCUUAGAGGUAAAGCAUUUGACAAUGUUCUGGGACAGCCAGCUCUAAUCUAGUGGACUAUACCAUGCAAUUGCAGCUUAGUGUUUAAGGCUUUGAAUCAAAGCUUUAUCUUGAGCCUGAAUGACUUCAGUCACGUGGAUAUUACCCACACAAAUGGCACAAAUGUUCAGCUGGAACAAUGUGGAGCAACUAAUACUGGCCAAUAGCAGCAGUAGUCCUGACUAGGCACAGCAAGAGAUGUUACACUAGUAGCUGACCUAUUGUUAGUGGAAAGGCUUUAAGAUUAUCAGCUCUACAGAUGACGAGGAAUAAUCAAGCUAGCUUUACAGGUCACCCAGAUACAGAAAGUCACCACACUGCUGCAGCCCAAAUGUGGACUAAUUUACCUUGCUUCUUGUUGCAUGGGACCUUGCUGUAACAGUAGGUUACUAAUAUUACCUGAACUAUUUUACAUACAGGUAGCUCAAGUUUGGGAUGCUGCAGUCUGCUGUGUAAAGAUUUUUAUUUUUUAAAUCUAUAUAAAGACAAGUAGCUGCACAUGUAGUUUAAGGUUUACUAUCAAGAACCUCAUUAGAACCCUGCAGCUGUCCUGCUGCAAGCACCAGACUCAAAUCUCUAGCUACUACCACAUUGUCAACCUAACACGUGCCUUCAAGGUUUAGUCUGUCUUUUUAAACAAAAGGAGAAAAUCUUACCUAUUCUCUCUCUCCCCCACAUUCUUCGCCUCAAAAGAGAAAGCAAGAACUGAGAAAAAAGGUGCAAUUAAGAAAGAAUAUGGGAACCCAACAUUUAGUAGGAAGGCAAAUAAAAUUAAAGAACCUGGCCUUAUUAUACACUAAAGUAGCACAUGAACUUUUUACGGUAACUUGAGAGACUGCUAGGACGAAAUGUCAGAUUUGGUUUUAAUAUAGUAUCUGAGAAAAGUUUUUAAACCAACACAG